AACGCACGAGACCUGCGGACCUGCGGAAGGAUCAUUACAGGACUCGCAAGACUCCUACAACCCUGUGAACUUAACUAUAAGCACGUUGCUUCGGCGGGUGUCUCGGCGAGGGUCCUCCCUCCCCGGGGCGCUAAGCCCGCCGGCAGCCUACUAUACUCUGUCUCUUUGCGUUGGCAUCUCGAGUACAAACAAACAAGUUAAAACUUUUAACAACGGAUCUCUAGAUCGGAAGAGCACACG
rnacentral:misc_RNA from 1 species